rnacentral:tRNA from 1 species
UUUAACUUAGUUUAUUGAAAAUAAAAGCUUGUCAGGCUUUAGAAGCAAAAGGUUUUGUAGUUAAAU